rnacentral:rRNA from 1 species
GACGAACGCUGGCGGCGUGCUUAACACAUGCAAGUCGAACGAUGAAGCCUAGCUUGCUAGGUGGAUUAGUGGCGAACGGGUGAGUAAUACGUGAGUGACCUACCUUUGACUCUGGGAUAAGCCUGGGAAACUGGGUCUAAUACCGGAUAUGACCAAUCUCCGCAUGGGGUGUUGGUGGAAAGCGUUAUGGAGUGGUUUUAGAUGGGCUCACGGCCUAUCAGCUUGUUGGUGAGGUAAUGGCUUACCAAGGCGACGACGGGUAGCCGGCCUGAGAGGGUGACCGGCCACACUGGGACUGAGACACGGCCCAGACUCCUACGGGAGGCAGCAGUGGGGAAUAUUGCACAAUGGGCGCAAGCCUGAUGCAGCGACGCCGCGUGAGGGAUGACGGCCUUCGGGUUGUAAACCUCUGUUAGCAUCGAAGAAGCGAAAGUGACGGUAGGUGCAGAGAAAGCGCCGGCUAACUACGUGCCAGCAGCCGCGGUAAUACGUAGGGCGCGAGCGUUGUCCGGAAUUAUUGGGCGUAAAGAGCUUGUAGGCGGUUGGUCGCGUCUGCUGUGAAGGCUGGGGCUUAACCCUGGUUUUGCAGUGGGUACGGGCUAACUAGAGUGCAGUAGGGGAGACUGGAAUUCCUGGUGUAGCGGUGGAAUGCGCAGAUAUCAGGAGGAACACCGAUGGCGAAGGCAGGUCUCUGGGCUGUAACUGACGCUGAGAAGCGAAAGCAUGGGGAGCGAACAGGAUUAGAUACCCUGGUAGUCCAUGCCGUAAACGUUGGGCACUAGGUGUGGGGGACAUUCCACGUUUUCCGCGCCGUAGCUAACGCAUUAAGUGCCCCGCCUGGGGAGUACGGCCGCAAGGCUAAAACUCAAAGAAAUUGACGGGGGCCCGCACAAGCGGCGGAGCAUGCGGAUUAAUUCGAUGCAACGCGAAGAACCUUACCAAGGCUUGACAUAUACUGGACUGCGUCAGAGAUGGCGUUUCCCUUCGGGGCUGGUAUACAGGUGGUGCAUGGUUGUCGUCAGCUCGUGUCGUGAGAUGUUGGGUUAAGUCCCGCAACGAGCGCAACCCUCGUUCUAUGUUGCCAGCACGUGAUGGUGGGGACUCAUAGGAGACUGCCGGGGUUAACUCGGAGGAAGGUGGGGAUGACGUCAAAUCAUCAUGCCCCUUAUGUCUUGGGCUUCACGCAUGCUACAAUGGCCGGUACAGAGGGUUGCGAUACUGUGAGGUGGAGCUAAUCCCUAAAAGCCGGUCUCAGUUCGGAUUGGGGUCUGCAACUCGACCCCAUGAAGUCGGAGCCGCUAGUAAUCGCAGAUCAGCAACGCUGCGGUGAAUACGUUCCCGGGCCU